rnacentral:misc_RNA from 1 species
GAUGAAGAACGCAGCGAAAUGCGAUAAUUAAUGCGAAUUGCAGAAUUCCAGUGAGUCAUCGAAUCUUUGAACGCACAUUGCGCCCUUUGGUAUUCCGAAGGGCAUGCCUGUUCGAGCGUCAUUAUCACCCCUCAAGCCCUCGGCUUGGUGUUGGACGGUUUGGUGGAGGCCCCCUCGGGGGCUCCUGCCCCUCCCAAAGACAAUGACGGCGGCCUCGUUGGACCCCCGGUACACUGAGUUCUUCACGGGACACGUAUCGGACACAUGGGUUUACGGGACACGGUCUGCCUCCCCUCAGGGAGAAUCUUUCUAAGGUUGACCUCGGAUCAGGUAGGGAUACCCGCUGAACUUAAGCAUAUCAAUAAGCGGAGGA